rnacentral:snRNA from 1 species
AACCGCAAGUCAAAAAUGUUAUU